rnacentral:lncRNA from 1 species
GUCCGUCGAUGGUGACGUUUGUGAUGCCGAUUGAUUCUUGGAUAGCAUCGGCUUUGGAACGCUAUUCCGGAGUGAGGCUUCGUAGAAUUUUCUGGACAAGCUCCUUAUCCGUGAAUGGCUUUUUGAGGGCGUGUAGGUCAUUAACGAUUUUUGAGAAUCAUUCGAACAUGUCAUCUAUCUUCUCGUUUUCCAUCAUGCGAAACAGUUCAUAUUCGUGGGUUAG